rnacentral:rRNA from 1 species
AGACCCGAAACCCGGUGAUCUAGCCAUGGGCAGGUUGAAGGUUGGGUAACACUAACUGGAGGACCGAACCGACUAAUGUUGAAAAAUUAGCGGAUGACCUGUGGCUGGGGGUGAAAGGCCAAUCAAACCGGGAGAUAGCUGGUUCUCCCCGAAAGCUAUUUAGGUAGCGCCUCGUGAAUUCAUCUCCGGGGGUAGAGCACUGUUUCGGCUAGGGGGCCAUCCCGGCUUACCAACCCGAUGCAAACUGCGAAUACCGGAGAAUGUUAUCACGGGAGACACACGGCGGGUGCUAACGUCCGUCGUGAAGAGGGAAACAACCCAGACCGCCAGCUAAGGUCCCAAAGUCAUGGUUAAGUGGGAAACGAUGUGGGAAGGCCCAGACAGCCAGGAUGUUGGCUUAGAAGCAGCCAUCAUUUAAAGAAAGCGUAAUAGCUCACUGGUCGAGUCGGCCUGCGCGGAAGAUGUAACGGGGCUAAACCAUGCACCGAAGCUGCGGCAGCGACACUAUGUGUUGUUGGGUAGGGGAGCGUUCUGUAAGCCUGCGAAGGUGGCCUGUGAGGGUUGCUGGAGGUAUCAGAAGUGCGAAUGCUGACAUAAGUAACGAUAAAGCGGGUGAAAAGCCCGCUCGCCGGAAGACCAAGGGUUCCUGUCCAACGUUAAUCGGGGCAGGGUGAGUCGACCCCUAAGGCGAGGCCGAAAGGCGUAGUCGAUGGGAAACGGGUUAAUAUUCCCGUACUUGGUGUUACUGCGAAGGGGGGACGGAGAAGGCUAUGUUGGCCGGGCGACGGUUGUCCCGGUUUAAGCGUGUAGGUGUGUGUUCCAGGUAAAUCCGGUUCACUUUAACACUGAGGCGUGACGACGAGGCACUACGGUGCUGAAGCAACAAAUGCCCUGCUUCCAGGAAAAGCCUCUAAGCAUCAGGUAACAUCAAAUCGUACCCCAAACCGACACAGGUGGUCAGGUAGAGAAUACCAAGGCGCUUGAGAGAACUCGGGUGAAGGAACUAGGCAAAAUGGUGCCGUAACUUCGGGAGAAGGCACGCUGACA